GAUCCUGGCUCAGAUUGAACGCUGGCGGCAGGCUUAACACAUGCAAGUCGAACGAUGAUGUCUAGCUUGCUAGACUGAUUAGUGGCGAACGGGUGAGUAAUGCUUAGGAAUCUGCCUGGUAUGGGGGACAACAUUCCGAAAGGAAUGCUAAUACCGCAUACGACCUACGGGUGAAAGGGGGCGCAAGCUCUCGCUAUCAGAUGAGCCUAAGUCGGAUUAGCUAGUUGGUGGGGUAAAGGCCUACCAAGGCGACGAUCUGUAGCUGGUCUUAGAGGAUGAUCAGCCACACUGGGACUGAGACACGGCCCAGACUCCUACGGGAGGCAGCAGUGGGGAAUAUUGGACAAUGGGCGAAAGCCUGAUCCAGCCAUGCCGCCGUGUGUGAAGAAGGCCUUUUGGUUGUAAAGCACUUUAAGUGGGGAGGAAAAGUUAAUGGUUAAUACCCAUUAACCCUGACGUUACCCACAGAAUAAGCACCGGCUAACUCUGUGCCAGCAGCUGC
rnacentral:rRNA from 1 species